CAACGAUCUCUGUUUUCAGAUG
rnacentral:siRNA from 1 species